GGAUAUGAGGCAAUCUGGCUGCGACAUCUGUCCUCCAUUGACUGCCAGGGUUGAUUUAGCUGAUCUGGCUAGGCAGGUGUCCCCUUCCUCCCUCACUGCUCCGUGUGUGUCCUUCCCAAAGCUGUGUGGAAGAAGACCCUCUUCAAGGGUAUUUAGUAGCUGUGUUCCCCUGCUAGAACCUGCAGACAAGCUCUCAAUUUGAAAAACUAAAUUUGUUCUUGCUCUUUACUGUUGUUCUUCACUUUGUGAUAUCUAUAGAAAAUAGAUUUUAAAGCACA
rfam:Fukomys damarensis contig109028, whole genome shotgun sequence.